GCGGGGGGAGAAUUCCCUGGAGGGGUUGGGGAAAGGGGUGGGGCAGGAAGCUUAGACUCUAGGUCUGAGUGGGAACCCAAGGACUAUAAAAGCCUGUGGAGCCAGAUAGGGAAAGGAGCCUGCAGCCAAGGAUAGACCUUCCCUAAGGAAAGGCUGAAAACAAGUCCAGGAUGCUGCACCAACUCUUGUUCCAUCUGCUAGGUGUCUGGCUGUUGCUGAGCUAUUUUCCCACAGAGCUCUCUGCCAGGAGGCCAAUAUCUCUGAGGCUUUGUGGCGGCAAAUUGGGCUUUGGCCUGGGCCUACCCUGCCUUGGUAGCCAAUCAAGAAGGGGCUACAAGGCCGUCCCAUCAAGGAAAUAUAUCCUGGCUCCAGGUGUUGUUUCAGGCUCAUCUAAAGCCUUAAGUAAGAUGCUGAAAUUAGGAAAGCUUUACAAGAAGCUGAAGAAGGCAAGGGGAGAAGACUUUGGCUCAUUGAACCCGACGAUACAGAGUGAACCAGAAGACUACAGCACUUCAGAAACAGAAAACUAUGGCUUGGAUCAACCUUUCCAAAAAAGGAGAAUGCUAACUAUAGAAUUGAAUAACAAGGGUGUUCCCAAGGUUGUGCCAAGAAAGAACUUGCAAGGGCGUGCAGAGCUGAGCUGAUUGUACAGGACUCAGCUAGUAUUCACAUGUCUUCUUGAUGAUAUAUUCACAAAUGCCUCUCAGAAACUAUUACAAGUGUUUUCAUUUCUGAUUUAUUGUGCCAGAAAAUACUCUUGGCAUUACUGAAAUUUCUGAUAAUAAACCUUUUGAUGCUAAAAA